ensembl:snRNA U6 U6 spliceosomal RNA
UUGCUUCAACAGCAUAAAUACUAAAAUUGGAACAAGACAAGAUUAGCAUGGCUUCUGUGCAAGAAAGACAUGCAAAAUCAUGAAGAAUGCCAUCUUUUC